GAACUGGGAUUAGCUCUUCAAGCGUCUCUGGUCUUAUCACCUCCAAGAUGGUUGAGCAAGUCCGCACAAACUGAUACCCUUGCAGCCGCUUCUUCAAUGAAGGUGUGGAAUCAGAAGUUUUCCAAGUUACAGCGGAAAUCAACAACGAUUUUUCGUACACAAAUCUCUAGUAAGACUUUUUUCAGGGUUCAAUCUGAAAGCUUAGUGAUGGUACCGAGCUCUGCGCCAACAAAGAACCAACUAGCACCCGAGCAGGAGAUGGAUUCCAUGGAAGGUGAUGCGGAAAACAGCGCAAACACAAACUAGCGAGGAAGGUGAGGUGUUAGCAGCAGUGGAAGCUUGGAGUUGGGGAGUACAUAUCGAAGCUACAAACAUCCAAAUUGAAACCAGCUGCAACAACCUCUAUAGGAUGAUAAAUGGAGCUCCAAACAACAUUUCUUGGCAAGCUUUAGCGAGAUGGGAUGCUAGUAAACAAACAGUCAUAAAAGCGAACAUAUGCGAUAAUAUUUUCUUUUUAAGUAUUGUAACUAAGAAAGCCAAUCAGGCAACUAUUGAUUUGGGGCAGAUGCCCAAAGCAACAGCAACCUGUGAACCUUACGGGCCUCCCCCCUUUUUUUAUUUUCAGAACUCUUAACCGGGAUAGGUUGCAUAUUAGCGAAUGCAACAAGACCCAAACAAUGUAACUUUCCAUAAUCUAUUUACUAGAUCUUUAUUAACAACAAAAAAAAA